rnacentral:rRNA from 1 species
UACAGAGGUCUCAACCGUUGUUCGGAUUCAUUGGGCGUAAAGCGUGCGUAGGCGGUUUGCCGUGUCCUGUGUGAAAGCCCCGGGCUCAACCUGGGAAUUGCAUGGGAAACUGGCAGGCUUGAGUGUGGCAGAGGAGGGUGGAAUUCCGCGUGUAGCAGUGAAAUGCGUAGAGAUGCGGAGGAACACCGAUGGCGAAGGCAGCCCUCUGGGCCAACACUGACGCUCAGGCACGAAAGCGUGGGGAGCAAACAGG